CAGACACAUACUGUGCUUUAUUUCAUUCCUGAGAUGGAAUUCCCAUAGGAGGGAAUUUACCGAAAAUAGGAAACAGGCUGGAUAGAAAUUAUCGAGUAAUUUUUUAAGUGCAAGAGAAGGCAAACAGCAAACUGAAAAUACAUGUAUGAUUAUGUGACAAAGAGAGACACAGCAAAAAAUCUUGAAUCCCUAAAGCAUUGUCACAGUAGUAUUUCCCAAGCUUUGGCAUAGUGCAAUGACCAAAAUCAGCUUCCAUGCAUGAGGAUGAUGGCAGCUCAACUCAACGGCCAUACUUACCACCUUCCUCCAACCCAGGGAGACCUGCCUUUUUGUCCUUCACCUGAGCAGUGCUUUCUUCCCAAAGCUUACUCUUAUCCUUUUCCUUUUCUUCUGCAGAAACAUGUUUCCCGGACUUCUCAGAUAAACCCUCUGCAAUCUCUUGGGUUCCUUUCUCCGUUCCUUCUUUAAGAACAUUCUCAAAGCUUUCGUCUAUUGGCAUCGGCUUGGUCUCCACAUCUGCUUUUGUUAUUUCUUGGUCUUCAAUUUCAAUUUCUAAGGAUUCCUCAAUUGGAAGUGACACCUCCCCAUCCUGACUUGAUGAUUUCUUCAUGGAGCAGUGGAAAGAACGUAGUCCAGAAAUUAGAAGGUUUUGGUCCAUGGCACAGCUGAGCACUGACAACACAUCCUUCCCUGGGCUUAUUCCAUCUGAGAGGGAGAUGCACAUGUAUGAUUUCUUCUACGGUCAUUCUGAAGAUCGGUGUCAUCAAUAAUUUGGGCUUGGGACUAUCCAGUUUCACAGGGGCAUUCAGUUGAUUGAAAAUCCAAUAUCAAUAUUGUUUAUAGUAUCAAAACAAUCUACCGAUCAAAGUCUCUAAAAUUACUACAAAAACCUAUUUGAUAUCCUAUGGCAUUGCCCAAUUUAAAUUAUUUAUAAAAUAUGCAGUAAAUGUGUAUGCCAG
rnacentral:lncRNA from 10 species